AACGGCCGUACCAUGCUGAAUAUACCGGUUCUCGUUAGAUCACCGAAGUUAAGCAUCAUUGGGCGCGGUCAGUACUUAUGUUGCAAUGGGUGGGUGACCACCUGGGAACAUUAAAU